GAUGAACGCUGGCGGCGUGCCUAAUACAUGCAAGUCGAGCGAACAGACGAGGAGCUUGCUCCUCUGCCGUUAGCGGCGGACGGGUGAGUAAAACGUGGAUAACCUACCUAUAAGACUGGGAUAACUUCGUGAAACCGGAGCUAAUACCGGAUAAUAUAUUGAACCGCAUGGUUCAAUAGUGAAAGACGGUUUUGCUGUCACUUAUAGAUGGAUCCGCGCCGCAUUAGCUAGUUGGUAAGGUAACGGCUUACCAAGGCAACGAUGCGUAGCCGACCUGAGAGGGUGAUCGGCCACACUGGAAUUGAGACACGGUCCAGACUCCUACGAGAGGCAGCAGUAGGGAAUCUUCCGCGAUAGGCGGAAGCUUGACGGAGCAACGCCGCGUUAGUGAUGAAGUUCUUCGGAUCGUAAAACUCUGUUAGUAGGGAAGAACAAAUGUGUAAGUAACUAUGCACGUCUUGACGGUACCUAAUCAGAAAGCCACGGCUAACUACGUG
rnacentral:rRNA from 1 species